rnacentral:rRNA from 1 species
CCUACGGGCGGCAGCAGUCGAGAAUCAUUCACAAUGGGGGAAACCCUGAUGGUGCGACGCCGCGUGGGGGAAUGAAGGUCUUCGGAUUGUAAACCCCUGUCAUGUGGGAGCAAAUUAAAAAGAUAGUACCACAAGAGGAAGAGACGGCUAACUCUGUGCAAGCAGCCGCGGUAAUACAGAGGUCUCAAGCGUUGUUCGGAAUCACUGGGCGUAAAGCGUGCGUAGGCUGUUUCGUAAGUCGUGUGUGAAAGGCGAGGGCUCAACCCGCGGACGGCACAUGAUACUGCGAGACUAGAGUAAUGGAGGGGGAGCCGGAAUUCUCGGUGUAGCAGUGAAAUGCGUAGAUAUCGAGAGGAACACUCGUGGCGAAGGCGGGUUCCUGGACAUUAACUGACGCUGAGGCACGAAGGCCAGGGGAGCGAAAGGGAUUAGAUACCCGAGUAGUC